GAGAGGGAGACAGAGACCCCGGGGGGCCACCCAGUGUUUACGCCGAGGGGACCCCCCUAAACCCCGGGGCUGGGUACGUCUGUAUGUUGUGCGGUGAGGACGCUGACGCUGACCCUGACCGUGGCCUGUGUUUCAGGUGUCCCCGUGCGAACGGUGCCGCUGUGAGGCCAGCGGGGAAGUGCUGUGCACGGUGUCCGCGUGUCCCCAGACGGAGUGUGUGGACCCCGUGUACGAGCCCGACCAGUGCUGUCCCAUCUGCAAGAACGGCCCCAACUGCUUCGCAGAGACGGCUGUCAUCCCAGCCGGCAGGGAGGUGAAGACGGACGAGUGCACCGUCUGCCACUGCACCUACGAGGAGGGCACGUGGAGGAUCGAGCGGCAGGCCAUGUGCACCAGGCACGAAUGCAGGCAGAUGUAGACCCGGGGCCGCGAAGGCGUCUCCCGGGAGACCGUGCUGGUGUCUGCAUCCUGGGCGGCUCUGGGAAGCAUUCGCCGGGGAGGGGAGACUCUGGCCGAGGCAUGAUGGACACCGGCUGGCACUGUGCUCUUCUCGGUAACUGUGACUGCAAGAGAAGGACGUGGAUCUAUUUCAAGACAUCCACAAGAACUUGGGGCCAUCGGAGCCCUCUCUCAAUAAAAUGUGCUAUUUUCACAGCGAGGACACUGCAGUCCACUAUUCUAUAUGAAGUGUAUUUCUAUAACCCUCGAUUAGAGAGCUUAUAUAAAUGUUUUCUAUAGAUACAGAUUAAAAAGCCUGGGCUG